rnacentral:rRNA from 1 species
AUGGGAGGAGACGCGGGGGAGCAGAGGAGGGAGGUGGAUGACGGGGUGACGAGGCAGGAGGCAAGAGGACGGGGUGAGGAGACUGACUACAAAGAUGAGUUUGUUAAGAAGGAUGGUCUCAAAUUGGGGCUGAUGUCCUGCUUUGUUAAGGCUGCCGUUUCUGCGCUUCAAAAUCAGCCAAUUGUUAAUGCUGUUAUUGAUGGUAAUGACAUCAUCUACAGAGACUACAUUGACAUUAGUGUUGUUGUUGGCACUUCCAAGGGUCUUGUGGUGCCUGUUAUCCAUGAUACAGAAGGAAUGAACUUUGCUGACAUUGAGAAGGGGAUAAAUAGCCUUGCAAAGAAGGCAACUGAGGGGGCAUUGUCAAUUGAUGACAUGGCAGGGGAACCUUCACAAUCUCAAACAACGUCAGCAAUUCUUGGAAUGCAUUCUAUUGUCCAACGCCAUGUGGUUGUGGAUGGCUCCAUCCUUGCGAGGCCAAUGAUGUACCUUGCAUUGACAUGUGACCAUAGGCUGAUAGAUGGCAGAGAAGUUGUUCUGUUUCUGCGCUGCAUCAAGGACGUAGUUGAAGAUCCACGGAGGUUGCUCCUUGACAUAUAG